AGUCGACGGGAUCUGACCAGCUUGCUGGUUGGUGAGAGUGGCGAACGGGUGAGUAAUGCGUGACCAACCUGCCCCAUGCUCCAGAAUAGCUCUUGGAAACGGGUGGUAAUGCUGGAUGCUCCAACUUGACGCAUGUCUUGUUGGGAAAGUGUUUAGUGGCAUGGGAUGGGGUCGCGUCCUAUCAGCUUGUAGGCGGGGUAAUGGCCCACCUAGGCUUCGACGGGUAGCCGGCCUGAGAGGGCGGACGGCCACAUUGGGACUGAGAUACGGCCCAGACUCCUACGGGAGGCAGCAGUGGGGAAUAUUGCGCAAUGGGGGAAACCCUGACGCAGCGACGCCGCGUGCGGGAUGAAGGCCUUCGGGUUGUAAACCGCUUUUGAUUGGGAGCAAGCCUUUUUGGUGAGUGUACCUUUCGAAUAAGCGCCGGCUAACUACGUGCCAGCAGCCGCGGUAAUACGUAGGGCGCAAGCGUUACCCGGAAUUAUUGGGCGUAAAGAGCUUGUAGGCGGUUCGUCGCGUCUGGUGUGAAAGCCCAUCGCUUAACGGUGGGUUUGCGCCGGGUACGGGCGGGCUAGAGUGCAGUAGGGGAGACUGGAAUUCUCGGUGUAACGGUGGAAUGUGUAGAUAUCGGGAAGAACACCAAUGGCGAAGGCAGGUCUCUGGGCUGUUACUGACGCU
rnacentral:rRNA from 1 species